rnacentral:rRNA from 1 species
AAUAGAUACCCCGGUAGUCCACGCCGUAAACGGUGGGCACUAGAUGUGGGGCUCUUUCCAUGAGUUCCGCGUCGCAGCUAACGCAUUAAGUGCCCCGCCUGGGGAGUACGGCCGCAAGGCUAAAACUCAAAGGAAUUGACGGGGGCCCGCACAAGCGGCGGAGCAUGCGGAUUAAUUCGAUGCAACGCGAAGAACCUUACCAAGGCUUGACAUAUACGGUCUAUCCCUAGAGAUAGGGAGUGCUUCGGUGCCGUAUACAGGUGGUGCAUGGUUGUCGUCAGCUCGUGUCGUGAGAUGUUGGGUUAAGUCCCGCAACGAGCGCAACCCUCGUCCUAUGUUGCCAGCGGAUAAUGCCGGGGACUCAUGGGAGACUGCCGGGGUCAACUCGGAGGAAGGUGGGGAUGAGGUCAAAUCAUCAUGCCCCUUAUGUCUUGGGCUUCACGCAUGCUACAAUGGCCGGUACAAAGGGCUGCAAUCCGCGAGGUGGAGCGAAUCCCGAAAAAGCCGGUCUCAGUUCGGAUUGAGGU